rnacentral:rRNA from 1 species
AUGGUCAAACUUUCGGCUGGUAACAUAAUCAGUAAAGUGAUCCAGUCAUCCUUGGACUACAUUAUUAGUCACGAUGGUAGAAAGUACAAAUCGAGCACCAGGGCCAAAUUAUUUUUUCCAAAAAUAUGGGAAAACUUUAGCACUUAUAACUGUAUCAGCUUAAUCAGAACACUGCUCAAGUUCGGAAUAUCUGCAAUCGUUGGAGUAACAAAAAUGAUUGAUUUAGCUUCCUGUUCAGAAAGAGUGCAAAUGUGCAUAUGUGUAUUGGGCCUUACUGCCCUAUGGUCCCCAUGCCGAUGCAAUGAAUUACCAAGGUUGUAG